UACAACAUAGCAUUAAUGCACCAGAUCCCAUUAGAACUCCGUAGUUAAGUGCGCUUAGGCUAGAGUAGUACUGGGUUGGGUGACCACGAGGGAAGUCCUAGUGUUUUAU
rnacentral:rRNA from 1 species